CUACGGUAGUGAAGUCAUUGAUGCCAUGCUUCCAGGAAAAGCCUCUAAGCUUCAGAUAGUCAGGAAUCGUACCCCAAACCGACACAGGUGGUCGGGUAGAGAAUACCAAGGCGCUUGAGAGAACUCGGGUGAAGGAACUAGGCAAAAUGGUACCGUAACUUCGGGAGAAGGUACGCUCUUGAUGGUGAAGUCCCUCGCGGAUGGAGCUGACGAGAGUCGCAGAUACCAGGUGGCUGCAACUGUUUAUUAAAAACACAGCACUGUGCAAAAUCGCAAGAUGACGUAUACGGUGUGACGCCUGCCCGGUGCCGGAAGGUUAAUUGAUGGGGUUAGCGCAAGCGAAGCUCUUGAUCGAAGCCCCGGUAAACGGCGGCCGUAACUAUAACGGUCCUAAGGUAGCGAAAUUCCUUGUCGGGUAAGUUCCGACCUGCACGAAUGGCGUAAUGAUGGCCACGCUGUCUCCACCCGAGACUCAGUGAAAUUGAAAUCGCUGUGAAGAUGCAGUGUACCCGCGGCUAGACGGAAAGACCCCGUGAACCUUUACUACAGCUUGGCACUGAACAUUGAACCUACAUGUGUAGGAUAGGUGGGAGGCUAUGAAGACGUGACGCCAGUUGCGUUGGAGCCGUCCUUGAAAUACCACCCUUGUAUGUUUGAUGUUCUAACUUAGACCCAUUAUCUGGGUUGAGGACAGUGCCUGGUGGGUAGUUUGACUGGGGCGGUCUCCUCCCAAAGAGUAACGGAGGAGCACGAAGGUGGGCUAAUCACGGUUGGACAUCGUGAGGUUAGUGCAAUGGCAUAAGCCCGCUUAACUGCGAGAAUGACGGUUCGAGCAGGUGCGAAAGCAGGUCAUAGUGAUCCGGUGGUUCUGUAUGGAAGGGCCAUCGCUCAACGGAUAAAAGGUACUCCGGGGAUAACAGGCUGAUACCGCCCAAGAGUUCAUAUCGACGGCGGUGUUUGGCACCUCGAUGUCGGCUCAUCACAUCCUGGGGCUGAAGUCGGUCCCAAGGGUAUGGCUGUUCGCCAUUUAAAGUGGUACGCGAGCUGGGUUUAGAACGUCGUGAGACAGUUCGGUCCCUAUCUGCCGUGGGCGUUGGAAGAUUGAAGGGGGCUGCUCCUAGUACGAGAGGACCGGAGUGGACGAACCUCUGGUGUUCGGGUUGUGUCGCCAGACGCAUUGCCCGGUAGCUAAGUUCGGAAUUGAUAAGCGCUGAAAGCAUCUAAGCGCGAAGCGAGCCCUGAGAUGAGUCUUCCCUGAUACUUUAAGUAUCCUAAAGGGUUGUUCGAGACUAGAACGUUGAUAGGCAGGGUGUGUAAGCGUUGUGAGGCGUUGAGCUAACCUGUACUAAUUGCCCGUGAGGCUUAA
rnacentral:rRNA from 1 species